CAGUCGCCACGGGAAUACGUAGGUGGCAAGCGUUGUCCGGAGUUAUUGGGCGUAAAGGGCUCGCAGGCGGUUUCUUAAGUCUGAUGUGAAAGCCCCAGGCUCAACCGGGGAGGGUCAUUGGAAACUGGGAAACUUGAGUGCAGAAGAGGAGAGUGGAAUUCCACGUGUAGCGGUGAAAUGCGUAGAGAUGUGGAGGAACACCAGUGGCGAAGGCGACUCUCUGGUCUGUAACUGACGCUGAGGAGCGAAAGCGUGGGGAGCGAACAGGAUUAGAUACCCCUGUAGUCCCUGUCUCUUAUAC
rnacentral:rRNA from 1 species